rnacentral:pre_miRNA from 1 species
CGUGUUCACAGCGGACCUUGAUUUAAAUUUGUACACAAUUAAGGCACGCGGUGAAUGCCA